GGGGGAUAUUGCGCAAUGGGGGCAACCCUGACGCAGCAACGCCGCGUGAAGGGUGAAGGUUUUCGGAUUGUAAACUUCUUUUAUUAAGGACGAAACUUGACGGUACUUAAUGAAUAAGCUCCGGCUAACUACGUGCCAGCAGCCGCGGUAAUACGUAGGGAGCAAGCGUUGUCCGGAUUUACUGGGUGUAAAGGGUGCGUAGGCGGCUUUGCAAGUCAGAUGUGAAAUCUAUGGGCUCAACCCAUAAACUGCAUUUGAAACUGUAGAGCUUGAGUGAAGUAGAGGCAGGCGGAAUUCCCCGUGUAGCGGUGAAAUGCGUAGAGAUGGGGAGGAACACCAGUGGCGAAGGCGGCCUGCUGGGCUUUAACUGACGCUGAGGCACGAAAGCGUGGGUAGCAAACAGGAUUAGAUACCCUGGUAGUCCACGCUGUAAACGAUGAUUACUAGGUGUGGGGGGUCUGACCCCUUCCGUGCCGGAGUUAACACAAUAAGUAAUCCACCUGGGGAGUACGGCCGCAAGGUUGAAACUCAAAGGAAUUGACGGGGGCCCGCACAAGCAGUGGAGUAUGUGGUUUAAUUCGAAGCAACGCGAAGAACCUUACCAGGUCUUGACAUCCAACUAACGAAGUAGAGAUACAUUAGGUGCCCUUCGGGGAAAGUUGAGACAGGUGGUGCAUGGUUGUCGUCAGCUCGUGUCGUGAGAUGUUGGGUUAAGUCCCGCAACGAGCGCAACCCUUGCUAUUAGUUGCUACGCAAGAGCACUCUAAUAGGACUGCCGUUGACAAAACGGAGGAAGGUGGGGACGACGUCAAAUCAUCAUGCCCCUUAUGACCUGGGCUACACACGUACUACAAUGGAUGUUAACAGAGGGAAGCAAGACAGCGAUGUGGAGCAAACCCCUAAAAACAUUCUCAGUUCAGAUUGCAGGCUGCAACCCGCCUGCAUGAAGAUGGAAUUGCUAGUAAUCGCGGAUCAGCAUGCCGCGGUGAAUACGUUCCCG
rnacentral:rRNA from 1 species